rnacentral:rRNA from 1 species
ACGAGUAAUGCGGUGGCAGGAGAAGCGGUUGAUCGAAGCCCCGGUAAACGGCGGCCGUAACUAUAACGGUCCUAAGGUAGCGAAAUUCCUUGUCGGGUAAGUUCCGACCUGCACGAAUGGCGUAACGAUGGCCACACUGUCUCCACCCGAGACUCAGUGAAAUUGAAAUCGCUGUGAAGAUGCAGUGUACCCGCGGCUAGACGGAAAGACCCCGUGAACCUUUACUACAGCUUUGCACUGGACUUUGAUGAUGACUGUGUAGGAUAGGUGGGAGGCUAUGAAGUGCGAACGCCAGUUUGCAUGGAGCCGACCUUGAAAUACCACCCUGUUGUUAUUGAGGUUCUAACUUAGGCCCGUAAUCCGGGUUGAGGACAGUGUAUGGUGGGUAGUUUGACUGGGGCGGUCUCCUCCCAAAGAGUAACGGAGGAGCACAAAGGUACCCUCGGUACGGUCGGACAUCGUACCAAGAGUGUAAAGGCAUAAGGGUGCUUGACUGCGAGACGGACGUGUCGAGCAGGAACGAAAGUUGGUCUUAGUGAUCCGGUGGUUCUGAAUGGAAGGGCCAUCGCUCAACGGAUAAAAGGUACUCCGGGGAUAACAGGCUGAUACCGCCCAAGAGUUCAUAUCGACGGCGGUGUUUGGCACCUCGAUGUCGGCUCAUCACAUCCUGGGGCUGAAGCAGGUCCCAAGGGUAUGGCUGUUCGCCAUUUAAAGUGGUACGCGAGCUGGGUUUAGAACGUCGUGAGACAGUUCGGUCCCUAUCUGCCGUGGGCGUAGGAAAAUUGAGAGGGGCUGCUCCUAGUACGAGAGGACCGGAGUGGACGAACCUCUGGUGCGCCGGUUGUCACGCCAGUGGCAUGGCCGGGUAGCUAAGUUCGGACGGGAUAACCGCUGAAAGCAUCUAAGCGGGAAGCCUUCCUCAAGAUGAGUUUUCCCUUGAAGCCCGUUGAAGACGACGACGUUGAUAGGCGAGGUGUGGAAGCGCAGUAAUGUGUGAAGCUAACUCGUACUAAUUGGCUGAUUGUCUUGACCAUAUAUGGUCAAGAAGAGAAGCGCAAACGGUGGAUGCCUUGGCAGUAAGAGGCGAAGAAGGACGUGGUAUUCUGCGAAAAGCCUGGGGGAGCUGAAAACGAGCGUUGAACCUGGGAUGUCCGAAUGGGGUAACCCGGCUAAUUUAUUAGUCAUUCAUACUUGAAUACAUAGGGUAUGGAAGCGAACUUGGGGAACUGAAACAUCUAAGUACCCAAAGGAAAAGAAAUCAAGAGAGAUUCUCUUAGUAGCGGCGAGCGAACGGGGAGGAGCCUGGCGUGAUUUAGCGUUGAUGUGAGUGGAAUUAUCUGGGAAGGUAAGCCGGAGAGGGUGAAGGCCCCGUACACGAAGCAUUGAUGUAGAACUAGGCACGCGGAGAAGUAGGCCGGAACACGCGAAAUUCUGGUUGAAGAUGGGUGGACCAUCAUCCAAGGCUAAAUACUCCUUACUGACCGAUAGUGAACGAGUACCGUGAGGGAAAGGUGAAAAGAACCCCGGAGAGGGGAGUGAAAUAGACCUGAAACCGUUUGCGUACAAGCAGUGGGAGCCUGACUUAGGUUAGGUGACUGCGUACCUUUUGUAUAAUGGGUCAGCGAGUUACUUUCAGUGGCGAGGUUAACCGGAUAGGGGAGCCGUAGAGAAAUCGAGUUUGAAUAGAGCGAUAGUCGCUGGGAGUAGACCCGAAACCGGGCGAUCUAGCCAUGUGCAGGAUGAAGGUUGGGUAACACCAACUGGAGGUCCGAACCGGGUAAUGUUGAAAAAUUAUCGGAUGACGUGUGGCUAGGAGUGAAAGGCUAAUCAAGCCCGGAGAUAGCUGGUUCUCCCCGAAAGCUAUUUAGGUAGCGCCUCGUGGGUUGAUUACUGGGGGUAGAGCACUGUUUCGGCUAGGGGGCUGUCAUGGCUUACCAAACCGAUGCAAACUCCGAAUACCGGAUAAUUGGACCACGGGAGACACACGGCGGGUGCUAACGUCCGUCGUGGAGAGGGAAACAACCCAGACCGCCAGCUAAGGUCCCGAAGUAUGAUUAAGUGGGAAACGAUGUGGGAAGGCAUAGACAGCCAGGAGGUUGGCUUAGAAGCAGCCAUCCUUUAAAGAAAGCGUAAUAGCUCACUGGUCGAGUCGGCCUGCGCGGAAGAUGUAACGGGGCUAAAAUCAUACACCGAAGCUGCGGAUGUGUAGUGAUACACGUGGUAGGGGAGCGUUCUGUAGGCCGAUGAAGGUUGACUGAGAAGUGAGCUGGAGGUAUCGGAAGUGCGAAUGCUGACAUGAGUAACGAUAAAGAGGGUGAAAAACCCUCUCGCCGGAAGUCUAAGGAUUCCUGCACGACGCUAAUCGGAGCAGGGUGAGUCGGCCCCUAAGGCGAGGCAGAGAUGCGUAGUCGAUGGGAACCAGGUUAAUAUUCCUGGACUUUCUGUAAGUGGUGAAGUGGGGACGAAGGAGGCUAGGUGAGCCGGGCGAUGGUUGUCCUGGUACUUGCAUGUAGGCGGAGAGACUUGGCAAAUCCGGUUUCUUGUUAACGCUGAGGUGCGAAGUGGUUCUGGCAUUUCGAUGCGCAGAGAAGUCACUGAUGCCAUGCUUCCAGGAAAAGCUGCUAGCCAUAACUUACGGAGAACCGUACCGCAAACCGACACAGGUAGACAGGUAGAGAAUACCAAGGCGCUUGAGAGAACUCGGGUGAAGGAACUAGGCAAAAUGGUACCGUAACUUCGGGAGAAGGUACGCCUUUGCUGGUGAAUUGCUUUACGUAAUGAGCUGGUGGAGGCCGCAGAGACCAGGUGGCUGCGACUGUUUAUUAAAAACACAGCACUCUGCAAAUUCGUAAGAAGACGUAUAGGGUGUGACGCCUGCCCGGUGCCGGAAGGUUAAUUGAUGCUGUUAUCCUGCCACCGGAUUGCUUGUAGAUGAAGGUGAACGACG